rfam:Arthrobacter sp. Soil736 contig_14, whole genome shotgun sequence.
AGUAAUGAGAACCGGCGCCAAGCCCUGACUGGCCGGUCGGCAACCCUCCCUUUCGCGGCGGGGUGCCUCAGGUGAAUACUCGGCAUAUCGACCACUUCGAGCUGCAAGCGUGAGAG